GGAAGAGCUACAAGACGUAAAGGGAGAGCUGCAGAACGUAACGGGACAACUGGAAGCCAUACAGCAAUUUGUGCAGGACAACCAGAAUUAGAAAAACAGCCAAGAAAGCGCUUCGGUAAUGUAUCUUGCAUCUUUAUAUAUGGAACAUUACCAAUUCUGUCAUUUGCGAUUAAAAUAAGCAGUUAUUGUUAAGGAAAUUACUGCUGUCCCUGUGCGCUAUAAGUGCUGCAUUGAUGUUUAAUGUUUUGGCAACAUUUUAAGUUCAUAUGAAUGUAGUUUCGUGUCUACGGAUGAUGGCGUUGCUGCUGACGAACUCUUUUUUACAGUGUCGUCUGCCAUGUAUUCAAUAACUGGGCAUGGCAGCAUCUGAUCACAUUAUACAGACACUAGUUUGCAAAAUUUUUGCUGAUCAUCAAGUAGACAAAAGUAUGUACUAAAUUCAAAGAUUUCGAUUCCCCGAUCGGACUUGAAAAGGUAAGGGAUUACCUGCCUGACCACGUGUGUUUUCGCCAGGUACUCCAGUUUCCUCAAACAUUAACAUU